AAAUGAAUAGACGGGCACCCGCACAAGCGGUGGAGCAUGCCGUUUAAUUCGAAACUACGCGAAGAACCUUACCAAGGCUUGACAUCCCCGGCAAAGCUAUAGAAAUAUAGUGGAGGCUACCCGGGUGACAGGUGGUGCAUGGUUGUCGUCAGCUCGUGUCGUGAGAUGUUCGGUUAAGUCCGCUAACGAGCGCAACCCUUGUCAUUAGUUACUAACAUUUAGUUGAGGACUCUAAUGAGACUGCCGGUAAUAAACCGGAGGAAGGUGGGGAUGACGUCAAAUCAUCAUGCCCCUUACGUCUUGGGCAACAGGCGUGCUACAAUGGCUGGUACAACGAGUCGCAAUACCGCGAGGUGGAGCUAAUCUAAAAAGCCAGUCGUAGUUCGGAUUGAAGUCUGCAACUCGACUUCAUGAAGCUGAAAUCGCUAGUAAUCCUGGAUCAGAAUGCCAGGGUGAAUACGUUCUCGGGUGUUGUACACACCGCCCGU
rnacentral:rRNA from 1 species